ensembl:misc_RNA Y_RNA Y RNA
GGCUGGUCUGAUGGUAGUAGGUUAUCAGAAUUUAUUAACAUUAGUUUCACCAAAGUUGGUAUAAAACCCCCAACUGCUAAAUUUGUCUGGCUAGAA